CUCUGAGUGGUGAUGGUCUUCUUGGCAGAGUUCUGAGAUGUCGCAGAGUAUGGAUUGGAAAGAGACAAGGAAACCACCUCUGUGCACAUCUGUGUUGAUUUAUGUUAGUUUGGAAAUGUCAGUGACUUUGCACUUUAACAUCAUGGAAGCCCUCAGAAAACAAGCUCAAGCCCAACAUAGAUAUGUGCUUUAUUAUGUUUCUUUCAGGUAUAAUGUGCAUUUGCCCCCUUCCACCAUCUCCUCCCCAUUCACCUACUAUGCCUUAGUUAGUAUUUCUGUUGCUGUGAUAAAACACUACAAGCAAAAUCAACUUGGGGAGGAAAGGGUUUACUUCAGUUUCCAGUUCCACAUCAUUGAGAGAAUUCAGGAAAGGAACUCAAGGCAUGAAUCUGGAGGGGAAAGUUGGAUGAAGAGGUGG
rnacentral:lncRNA from 1 species